rnacentral:rRNA from 1 species
UCCUGGCUCAGAUUGAACGCUGGCGGCAUGCCUUACACAUGCAAGUCGAACGGUAACAGGUCUUCGGACGCUGACGAGUGGCGAACGGGUGAGUAAUACAUCGGAACGUGCCCAGUCGUGGGGGAUAACUACUCGAAAGAGUAGCUAAUACCGCAUACGAUCUGAGGAUGAAAGCGGGGGACCUUCGGGCCUCGCGCGAUUGGAGCGGCCGAUGGCAGAUUAGGUAGUUGGUGGGAUAAAAGCUUACCAAGCCGACGAUCUGUAGCUGGUCUGAGAGGACGACCAGCCACACUGGGACUGAGACACGGCCCAGACUCCUACGGGAGGCAGCAGUGGGGAAUUUUGGACAAUGGGCGAAAGCCUGAUCCAGCAAUGCCGCGUGCAGGAUGAAGGCCUUCGGGUUGUAAACUGCUUUUGUACGGAACGAAAAAGCUUCUCCUAAUA